UACGAAGGGGGCUAGCGUUGUUCGGAUUUACUGGGCGUAAAGCGCGCGUAGGCGGCCCUGUAAGUCCGCUGUGAAAGUCAAAGGCUCAACCUUUGAAAGCCGGUGGAUACUGCAGGGCUAGAGUCCGGAAGAGGCGAGUGGAAUUCCUGGUGUAGCGGUGAAAUGCGCAGAUAUCAGGAGGAACACCGAUGGCGAAGGCAGCUCGCUGGGACGGUACUGACGCUGAGGCGCGAAAGCGUGGGGAGCAAACAGG
rnacentral:rRNA from 1 species